rnacentral:misc_RNA from 1 species
CACCACUCAAGCCUCGCUUGGUAUUGGGCGCCGCGCUUCGGCGCGCGCCUCAAUGUAUCCGGCUGAGCCGUCCGUCUCUAAGCGUUGUGGCACUUUAUGUUUCCGCUUCGGAGCUCGGGAGGUCUCGCGCCGUUAAACACCCCAUCAAA